rnacentral:rRNA from 1 species
CCUACGGGUGGCUGCAGUGGGGAAUAUUGGACAAUGGGGGCAACCCUGAUCCAGCCAUGCCGCGUGUGUGAAGAAGGCCCUCGGGUUGUAAAGCACUUUCAGUGAGGAAGAACGCCUGGUGGUUAAUACCCAUCAGGAAAGACAUCACUCACAGAAGAAGCACCGGCUAACUCCGUGCCAGCAGCCGCGGUAAUACGGAGGGUGCGAGCGUUAAUCGGAAUUACUGGGCGUAAAGCGCGCGUAGGUGGCUUGAUAAGCCGGUUGUGAAAGCCCCGGGCUCAACCUGGGAACGGCAUCCGGAACUGUCAAGCUAGAGUGCAGGAGAGGAAGGUAGAAUUCCCGGUGUAGCGGUGAAAUGCGUAGAGAUCGGGAGGAAUACCAGUGGCGAAGGCGGUCUUCUGGACUGACACUGACACUGAGGUGCGAAAGCGUGGGUAGCAAACAGGAUUAGAUACCCUUGUAGUC